AUGCCCAUGCCAUUGUUUACAACACAUACUGGGAAUGAGCCACGCUGUUACUCAGUGUACCUAUUUAGGGCCCAGAAUCUGAAAACCAAUGAUUUCACAAAACUUCUUGUAACCCUAACAAGACCAGUUAUCAGAAGACACCUUAUCAGCCAAGUAAUGCAGACAGGUUCAACCAAGUACUCUGGAGUGUGGCGGCCAACAUCCGUAGGUUCCUAUUCCAGGACCCUACCUUAUCCAAGGCUCAAUCUUUCUAUGGAAAAGAAAGCGCUCUCCCUUUUACGACCGCUUUGCAGCCUGCUCGCGGGCGGUGACGAGGUGCAAGGAGGGCAGGCCCGCGGUCACAAUGUUUGGGCGGGGAGCCGCGUCCCAGGUGAUCUCGCCUCACUCCAGCCGAGAUCCGCUGCAAACCCCGCCCCUGCCCUGGCGUCCUCCAGCCCCCGUUCCUCGCCUCGCGCUGGCCGAUUUCGGAUGACCAAAAGCCCCACUGCCCCAACAGCGUCGGGGCCACGGCACUUCCGCCCGCGUCCGGCGGAACUACAAGCCCCGGCAGCCCCCGCGCAAGGCCCGCCCCCUCCCACCUCCGCCCAAAACGAGUCCCAGAACCCUCCGCGAGACGCCAGGCCUCGAAAUAGAACAAAACCGGCUGAUGGGGGAGGGGGGACGGCGAGGGUCGCGAAGGACACAGGGGAAGGAGGACUGUGCGCUGGUGCUGGAAGCCCGAUCUGGCCUUCGCUCUACCCCUAUCUGCCCCCCGCCUGCUGGACGCGGAGACCGCGGCCCGUCCUCCGCGCCCCCGGGAAGCGCAGGAAGGUGCCCGCCAGGCUUCCUCGCGGACUCCUGCCAAGAGGUCCGCAGCCUCUUAGCCCGGCGUCCCCCUCACGCCCUUCCCCUCAUUCUCGCGCAAACCUCCGGCUCAGGAUCCGCAGCAGCUUCGCUGUCCAAAGCAGACGCAGAAACGCCGCUCACAAGCCGUUUCCCAGAAGCCCCCGGCGCGGACUGCUUCCGGUCUGCGGGUCCCAGGAGGCGGAGGGAGGCGAAGCCCCGCGUUGCCAUGGAGAUGCGCUCCGGGCGGGGGAGGGGCGGCGCGACGACAAAGAUCGCUUUGAGGCUGCGCUUGGCCUCGGGCCUCUCUGCUCCGAGCGCCCAGGGUUCUGUGUUCCGCCUCCGAGACGGGGGAGAGAAAGAAUUCUGCCAUUAAGACAGUCUUUACGGCUCCACGAGCCGUCUCACGCGAAGCUCUCAGUAACCCUCUGGAAGGAGUGA
rnacentral:lncRNA from 1 species